CGGCGAGAGCCACGAGGGAGGCCCCGGAGCCGCCGCGCGCUGCAGCUGCCUGCCUCUUCCCCAGCCCCUGCAGUUCGUCGACUCUAAGCUCCGCCGCCGCUUCGGAGAGAAAAGCCUGCUGCUCAGGAGAUGAGGGCGAAGGCGCUUCUGCCUGCCUGCCGUUCACGCUCCUCUUUCCCCUUUGCUUUCCUGCCCAGGCGGGUCCCUUCGGUUCCUCUGGGGCCUCUCGCAUGCAUCCUGACACCCGGGUCACCCCUAAGACGCCCCCUCCCCAUGAAGGCCAUGGUUCGUGGUGCGGGGGGCGCCACGAACUGAGGAGAAACUCGCUCCGAAGACGCCUCCGGGGCUUCUCUGCCGGCUGCCCCUUUUGCUGAAUUACUGAGAGGGUGGCCCCUGCUGGCCAGGUCCAUUCCCAAAACAUUCGCGAGCCGGAGUCACGCCGGGAACUGGAGGCUCAGCAAUCUCCCGAUGCCACCUGCAGGAAGCGAGGGGAGGGGGGAGAGAAGAGAAGCAAUCCGCUCCUCCCCUCCCCACCCCUGUGACCUGGGGAGACGGGCUGAUGCGAUGCGUACAGACAGGUAGAAGGAAGCGGAGACAUUGGAGCUGGGAAGCCCAUUAGCGCAGCCGCAGCCUCCCGCGGGACCAGAAGCGGGGAGCUGACACGCAGCGCCCACCCCUCCCUCCUCCCGCCCUUCCCCGGUCGCUUUCUUCCUCUCCCGCCAGCGCCCUCGCGGGGACAGCCCCGCGGGCCAGACGCUUUUAAUUAAUUGCCCCCUAACAAGCGCGCGGGAAUCUCUUAGCGCGCCGGAGUGUCGAGCUGCGGAAGAGUGAUAGAGCGGCAGGAAAACGCGGCCCUGCUCCGGGCGGGAAGCGAGCGAGGGCGCCCUGCCCGGGAACGGGGCCUGCCGGGCCGGGCCUGCUUCCUGCCGCGCUUCGCCACGUGGAAACUGGAGCUGGGUUUUGGAAGGCCGUGUGGACGCUUUCAAAUGGACUUCGAGUCAUUAUGUCCACUGGUAUAGUCUGGUCUUGGAGGCCAGUGCCUCUGAAUGCCAGGAAGUGUCUCUACUCCGAAGCAAAAUGUAUGAAGAGGAUGAUGUCCUCCCCAUCCCAGUGUCUUCCAGGCCUUCCCUCGCUUUAAAUGUGGGUUUAUUUAAAAUUAUCCUGGGCUCUUAUGAUGCGGGUGCUUGCUUUUUGGAAAGAAAGUCCCCACCUUGGUCCUCAAGCCUAAGAAUGUGAGGACAGAUUAGGGUUUGGCGCACUGUAUGUGCUCAGAAUCAGACUGCUUUCUAAUUGUUUUGUGUAUUCUUGGAUCCUAGGGUUAGAAAUAGAUUCUGGCCUUGGCACAAAUUAAGCCUUGAGGCCAAUCUAUUAUUAGAGUAAGGCAUUGUACAGUCAUACCCUGCUGCUACCAUUUUAAUUUAAAAAACAACCAGGUAUGUGGACUUCUAUAUCCAUUUCUCCAGAUAGUAGCUUUCCCCACUCUCAUCUGGACAUAGAGAAUGGGGGAAAGUGGGCAUGAGAUUUGGUAAUGUUCAAGCAGUUAAAUGUCAAACUGACAUAGAACUAGCAGAUCUUACAAAGCCUGCUACUCCUGUUUUAGUUGGGAGGCUGGUUGUUGGUUGUUUUUUUAAAAAAAGACAAACAGCAUCUGGCAGAAAUUGAAAUAAUCAAGUAGCUGCUUAUUGCUGUGGAUCAGAAAAUUGUUUAUUGGGUGGCAUUUGAUGCUGCACCUAAAGCAAAGGCACAGUAUGUGGAAAAUUGUAACUUGAUGCCUUUCAGUUUAAAUUUUGUUGACUGUAUUUGUGGUUAUCAUUUUUAUUGUUUCAGCAUUAUGAUGUAUAAUAGCUUUAAGGAAGGAACUGCAGUUUUAGUUAUUACACAUUAUGAUUGUUUCCUGGAGAUUAACUUGUUGCUUUAGAUAUAAUCUGUGGUUCGAACAAAUGACCUAUGCCACUGUUCCUAUUUAAGGACUUCUAAUUUGCACAAGUAGGGGACGCGGGUGGCGCUGUGGGUAAAACCUCAGUGCCUAGGACCUGCCGAUCGUAUGGUCGGCGGUUCGAAUCCCCGUGGUGGGGUGAGCUCCCGUCUUCGGUCCCAGCUCCUGCCCACCUAGCAGUUCGAAAGCACAAUUAAGUGUAAGUAGAUAAAUAGGUACCGCUUUAUAGCGGGAAGGUAAACGGCGGUUCCGUGUGCUGCGCUGGUGCUGGCUCGCCAGAGCAGCUUCGUCACGCUGGCCACGUGACCCGGAAGUGUCUCUGGACAGCGCUGGCCCCCGGCCUCUUAAGUGAGAUGGGCGCACAACCCUAGAGUUGGACACGACUGGCCCGUACGGGCAGGGGUACCUUUACCUUUGCCUUAAUUUGCACAAGUACUAUACUGUCUUUAUCCUGCUUGCUUCCACAACAACACUGUAAGGUAGGUCUACGAACAGAAGCACCCCAGAUCUGGCUUGCAGCUUAAUUGAUUUGAUUUAUUUACUGUAUGUAUAAGAGACCACCCAAUAACAUUGUUCCCUGGGUAUCUCACAAACAUAAAGUGAGAAAAUACAAUUAAAAUACAAUGUCAUAAAAUACCAAUAUAAUAAAAGAACAACUUGC